CUGUCACUCCACUGUCCCUGUGUCUGCCCCUACCACCAUUAUGAUGUCAGAGAGCAUUGAGUCCAGCUGUCUGGAUGUCCCUUCUCCGGAGAGGGCAGUGGGCAGGUCCUCCCCUCAGAGAGGAAGAGGAAGAUGGAUUGGGGGCUGAGGCCCAGGGUGUAAAGGAGGAGGGCGCAUCUGAUGAGACGGAGGCACUGUACAUCAAUCUAAAGCAGGACAGAGUAUCGCCAACGGGAGAACUGACGAGGGACUUCAGAGGGUCAUUCAUUCGAUGCUGCAAAAAUGACAAAGUCAAUGAGAGGCUGCAUCUGGUCAGGACCCUCAACAGCUCUUUAUCGGCAAAAUAAGCCGACCUGUUGGCUAUAGAACACGUGCUGGCCAUGGUCACUGCACGGAGGGAUUGUCAGUGGAGGGUUGGCAACUGUUGCUACUGCAGGAGAUCAUUCACCACAAGAAAAACCCACCAGGUGGCAGCAGAGAGCUGUCUUUCCCUUUCAGAGCACAUUGGAGGGAUCAGGGUCCGUAUGUAUCAACCAAGCACGAGUGCUUUUAUGGCCAGGGACCUGAUCCUAGAUCAGCACCCCUACUCUGAGACGCUUUGUGAACACAGCCCAGAUGCUUUUCUUCAGGCAGAUGCAAAGAUACAGUAGCUUAUUUAAAAUACAGACAUAUAGUUGAAGGUGAGAAAAAAUUAAGUUGUAUUCAUCUUAUUGAGGAUAUUCCUGAAAAUUUGCUUUGAGUAUUCCUAGGCUUUCUUGUAAAAAUGGUUAUACAUGUUUGAUUCAAUGUUAUGAUUUUAAGAACGUAUUUUGAUAUGCGGUGCCACGCAGAGAUUAUGGGGAUAUGAUGCUCCGUGCUAAUAACAGGGCAUAUUUAUUCAGUCUGAUAUUGGACUAACUCACAAAUUAGUUUUCUAGAUAACAGGGUCCAUAAAGUACACCAUGAAUUGUUAUACUAUUUUUUUCCCACUGUUGUUACACUGAAAUAAGGGCUGUUUAUUCAAGGUACAGCCACACCUAUUUAAGUACACACCUAGUUCAAUUACUGUCGUAUAACAUCACUGUGUAAUAAAGGAAGCAGUGGCCUAAGCUAAUGUUAUCUAGACAAUAUUUUUUAUUUAACUAGGCAUGUCAGUUAAGAACAAAUUCUUAUUUACAAUGACGGCCUAGGAACAGUGGGUUAACUGCCUUGUUCAGGGGCAGAACGACAUAUUUUUACCUUGUCAGCUCAGGGAUUCGAUCUAGCAACCUUUCGGUUACUUGCCCAAUGCUCUAACCACUAGGCUACCCGCCGCCCCGUAAAGAAAUGACUGAGAAUUAGCAUUCAUAUUUAAUACUGUAUAUAUUUGAUCAUUUUAACGUUGUAAAUGUUUUGUACAUUGUGUAUGGGUUUUGUGGAAGUAACUUGUACUGUUUACAUUUUGUAUCAACCUGACAAGAAUAUGCAGUACAAAACAAAAGUCAGAGCUUUUGAAAUGACGUAUUGACUUAUCUGUAGGCCACAUGGCUCCAAAUAGGAUACUGUUGGCACCCAUUAGACCUGCUGGUAUUUCCAUACAGAAGCAUUCACACACUGAAGUUAGUAUUAAAGCAUGCCAUCUGGGGUAACCAUAAAAUGUUCUAUGUACUGUAAAGAAACUGCAUAGAAAUGCCGAAACCUCAAAGUUCUGUGAAGGAAGUUGACAGAAAGUAGCCUGGAAGAUGCAGAUGAUAUCUUAGCCAUCUGUUGCUGGCCCUUUGUGUCAAAGCACAAAGAAGGAGACUUUGCUGGCUGCCCUCCCUGUCAACCUCACCGCUCUAACGCCAACUCAUUUGAAUGAGAAUGAACGGGGGUGUUAUUUUCGUCUUUCUCCAUUAGAGGUGUUAUGCCUGAUGGAGGGCCUGUCAAUCCAAACCAGUCACACCUCGCUGUAGUCCUCGGGGUAGGUAGAGGGAACUCACCUUGCAACUUUAAUAAGGUGAACAGACUUUAAAUGUGUUUACCAGGAUGUUAUCCUAUCUGACUCCCCCUCAGGGCGAACACACUAGAUAUGUACCGGUAACUGGGGUCAGACGGAAGGCAAGGCAACAGAGAGGGAAGCCUGCUGCAGUAGACGUUUUUGGCUGGCUACUUAAUACAACACCGCCGUGUGCUUAUUAUGUUUGAUGACGAGGCUCUUUUCAAACUGACUACUGUACAUUGGAGUGGUUGCGUGGGUCUUGGGUACUGUACAUUUGUAUGAGCUUGAGCUGUGAAUUCAAAUCGGGACAUUCUGGAGACGUGACAUCUAAAUGGACAACAGAGAACGAGACUUAAUAAACACCAAGAGACAAAAUGGCAAACCAUUUCAGAGGGCAAGUUUUCAACAAACAUGUUUAGAGAAACAAACCACGUCUCCGUCCGCAGUUUUUACUCGUAGAAUCAUACCGUCUAAAAAGAAAAUCACGACAGCUGUGAGGGGAACGAAUAGUUUCUGAACAAUUGUAUAAACGCCAACAGAUCACUUGUUUGUUUUUGUGUCGGUAAAAUUAAUUAUGCAAGAAAGAGUGGUGGAAACUCCUUUAUGCGCAAAUAUUCAUAUAAUAACCAUGUUAUCGAAAUAAACUUGGAUUCACACGAUGAUAUGGUGUGUGGUCCUCCCACUAUGACUCGGGAAACCACAGAGUUUAUUAGGCUACGGUGAAAUGAUGAUGAACUUCACAGGGUGGCGAAAGUGCACGGUGAAUCCUUUCCAAGAAAAUAUCCAGGGUCUUAUUCUGGUGACAUGAUGAUUGAUGCUUGACUGCCAUUUGACAAAUAAACAUAUUCUCGCAAUUAUCAAUAAUAAUCUCAUGUAGACUAGCCUACCAGCACAGCCUACUGCACCGGAGUCCUAUCUGUGAGCUGUUGGCUAGCGCACGUGUGCCAAUACCAGUGCAAGCACAUUUGCUAUUGUUGGGGCCAGAGGAGUUAACACAGCCUAUUCACAUCCAACUAUGGCACAGUUGCUUACAACUGUUAAAUGCAGUGGAGGCUGGUGGGAGGAGCUAUAGGAGGACGGGCUCAUUGUAAUGGCUGGAAUGGA